GAUGAACGCUGGCGGCGUGCCUAAUACAUGCAAGUCGAACGCUGAAGCUUGGUGCUUGCACCGAGCGGCUGAGUUGCGAACGGGUGAGUAACGCGUAGGUAACCUGCCUCUUAGCGGGGGAUAACUAUUGGAAACGAUAGCUAAUACCGCAUAAAAGUCGACAUCGCAUGAUGUUGACUUGAAAGGUGCAAUUGCAUCACUAAGAGAUGGACCUGCGCUGUAUUAGCUAGUUGGUGAGGUAACGGCUCACCCAGCCGACGAUACAUAGCCGGCCUGAGAGGGUGAUGGGCGACACUGGGAGUGAGACACGGCCCAGAACCCUACGGGAGGCAGCAGGAGGGAAUCUUCGGCAAUGGGGGCAACCCGGAACGAGCAACGACGCGUGAGUGAAGAAGGGUUUCGGGUCGUAAAGAUCUGUUGUAUGAGAAGAACGAGUGUGAGAGUGGAAAGUUCACAUUGUGACGGUAACUUACCAGAAAAGGACGGCUAACUACGUG
rnacentral:rRNA from 1 species